UUGGUCAAACGGUGAUGAGCGA
rnacentral:siRNA from 1 species